GAUGAACGCUGGCGGCGUGCCUAAUACAUGCAAGUCGAGCGAACGGACGAGAAGCUUGCUUUUCUGAUGUUAGCGGCGGACGGGUGAGAAACACGUGGAUAACCUACCUAUAAGACUGGGAUAACUUCGGGAAACCGGAGCUAAUACCGGAUAAUAUUUUGAACCGCAUGGUUCAAAAGUGAAAGACGGUCUUGCUGUCACUUAUAGAUGGAUCCGCGCUGCAUUAGCUAGUUGGUAAGGUAACGGCUUACCAAGGCAACGAUGCAUAGCCGACCUGAGAGGGUGAUCGGCCACACUGGAACUGAGACACGGUCCAGACUCCUACGGGAGGCAGCAGUAGGGAAUCUUCCGCAAUGGGCGAAAGCCUGACAGAGCAACGCCGCGUGAGUGAUGAAGGUCUUCGGAUCGUAAAACUCUGUUAUUAGGGAAGAACAUAUGUGUAAGUAACUGUGCACAUCUUGACGGUACCUAAUCAGAAAGCCACGGCUAACUACGUG
rnacentral:rRNA from 1 species